rnacentral:rRNA from 1 species
GACGAACGCUGGCGGCGUGCUUAACACAUGCAAGUCGAACGGAAAGGCCCUGCUUGCAGGGUACUCGAGUGGCGAACGGGUGAGUAACACGUGGGUGGUCUGCCCUGCACUUCGGGAUAAGCCUGGGAAACUGGGUCUAAUACCGGAUAGGAGCCAUUUUUAGUGUGAUGGUUGGAAAGUUUUUUCUGUGUAGGAUGAGCUCGCGGCCUAUCAGCUUGUUGGUGGGGUAAUGGCCUACCAAGGCGGCGACGGGUAGCCGGCCUGAGAGGGUGGACGGCCACAUUGGGACUGAGAGACGGCCCAGACUCCUACGGGAGGCAGCAGUGGGGAAUAUGGCACAAUGGGCGCAAGCCUGAUGCAGCGACGCCGCGUGGGGGAUGACGGCCUUCGGGUUGUAAACUCCUUUCGCUAGGGACGAAGCUUUUUGUGACGGUACCUAGAUAAGAAGCACCGGCUAACUACGUG